rnacentral:rRNA from 1 species
UACGGAGGGUGCAAGCGUUGCUCGGAUUUACUGGGCGUAAAGCGCACGCAGGCGGUCUGGAAGGUCGGGUGUGAAAGCCCGGGGCUCAACCCCGGAACUGCACUCGAAACCGCCAGACUUGAGGUCGAGAGAGGAGGGUAGAAUUCCUGGUGUAGAGGUGAAAUUCGUUGAUAUCAGGAGGAAUACCGGUGGCGAAGGCGGCCCUCUGGCUCGAUUCUGACGCUCAUGUGCGAAAGCGUGGGGAGCAAACAGG